UUUUGAAUAGCUCACUGGUAGAGCAAUUGGCACCUAACCAAUCUGUGACAGGUUCGAUUCCUGUUUCAAAAACCA
rnacentral:tRNA from 1 species